UACGGGGGGGGCAAGCGUUGUUCGGAAUUACUGGGCGUAAAGGGCUCGUAGGCGGCCAACUAAGUCGGACGUGAAAUCCCUCGGCUUAACCGGGGAACUGCUUCCGAUACUGGAUGGCUUGAGUGUGGGAGAGGGAUGCGGAAUUCCAGGUGUAGCGGUGAAAUGCGUAGAUAUCUGGAGGGACACCGGUGGCGAAGGCGGCAUCCUGGACUACUACUGACGCUGAGGAGCGAAAGCCAGGGGAGCAAACGGG
rnacentral:rRNA from 1 species